UACGUAGGGGCGAGCGUUGUCCGGAAUGAUUGGGCGUAAAGGGCGCGUAGGCGGCUUUGCAAGUCAGUAGUGGAAGUCCAUUUUUCAAGGAUGGAAGUGCUACAGAAACUGCGGAGCUUGAGUGCAGGAGAGGUUAUCGGAAUUCCCGGUGUAGCGGUGAAAUGCGUAGAGAUCGGGAGGAACACCAGUGGCGAAGGCGGGUAACUGGACUGCAACUGACGCUGAGGCGCGAAAGUGUGGGGAGCAAACAGGAUUAGAUACCCGCGUA
rnacentral:rRNA from 1 species